CCCCAGACUCCUACGGGAGGCAGCAGUGGGGGAUAUUGCACAAUGGGGGAAACCCUGAUGCAGCGACGCCGCGUGAGUGAAGAAGUAUUUCGGUAUGUAAAGCUCUAUCAGCAGGGAAGAAAAUGACAGUACCUGACCAAGAAGCCCCGGCUAACUACGUGCCAGCAGCCGCGGUAAUACGUAGGGGGCAAGCGUUAUCCGGAUUUACUGGGUGUAAAGGGAGCGUAGACGGCAGUGCAAGUCCGGAGUGAAAGCCCGGGGCUCAACCCUGGGACUGCUCUGGAAACUGUAAAGCUGGAGUGCGGGAGGGGCAGGCGGAAUUCCUGGUGUAGCGGUGAAAUGCGUAGAUAUCAGGAGGAACACCGGCGGCGAAGGCGGCCUGCUGGACCGUAACUGACGUUGAGGCUCGAAAGCGUGGGGAGCAAACAGGAUUAGAUACCCCUGUA
rnacentral:rRNA from 1 species